CACACACAUACACGUAAGUAGCUUUGGAUAAAAGCGUCUGCUAAAUGGCAUAUA
rfam:Salmo salar isolate Sally breed double haploid chromosome ssa09, whole genome shotgun sequence.